AUUGAACGCUGGCGGCAGGCCUAACACAUGCAAGUCGAACGAGUGGUGGACGGGUGAGUAAUGUCUGGGAAACUGCCUGAGGGAGGGGGAUAAAUACUGGAAAAGGUAGCUAAUACCGCAUACCAUCAGAUGUGCCCAGAUGGGAUUAGCUGGUAGGUGGGGUAACGGCUAACCUAGGCGGCGAGCCCUAGCUGGGCUGAGAGGAUGACCAGCCACACUGGAACUGGGACCCGGUCCAGAAUCCUACGGGAGGCAGCAUUGGGGAAUAGUGCACAAUGGGCGCAAGCCUGAUGCAGCCAUGCCGCGGGUGUGAAGAAGGCCUUCGGGUUGGAAAGCCCUUUCAGCGGGGAGGCGUUACCCGCAGAAGAAGCACCGGCUAACUCCGUGCCAGCAGCCGCGGUAAUUC
rnacentral:rRNA from 1 species